GAAGAUGAUGGUUGAUGU
rnacentral:siRNA from 1 species